rnacentral:rRNA from 1 species
UAGGGAAUCUUCGGCAAUGGACGAAAGUCUGACCGAGCAACGCCGCGUGAGUGAAGAAGGUUUUCGGCUCGUAAAACUCUGUUGUUAGAGAAGAACAAGGACGUUAGUAACUGAACGUCCCCUGACGGUAUCUAACCAGAAAGCCACGGCUAACUACGUGCCAGCAGCCGCGGUAAUACGUAGGUGGCAAGCGUUGUCCGGAUUUAUUGGGCGUAAAGCGAGCGCAGGCGGUUUCUUAAGUCUGAUGUGAAAGCCCCCGGCUCAACCGGGGAGGGUCAUUGGAAACUGGGAGACUUGAGUGCAGAAGAGGGGAGUGGAAUUCCAUGUGUAGCGGUGAAAUGCGUAGAUAUAUGGAGGAACACCAGUGGCGAAGGCGGCUCUCUGGUCUGUAACUGACGCUGAGGCUCGAAAGCGUGGGGAGCAAACAGG